rnacentral:lncRNA from 1 species
UUGCCCCCAAAUAUCCCAUUUCCAACAACACCAAUUCAAUACACCUACACCAAUCACACUUCUUUUUCCUUUUCAUUUCACUGCAAUAAAUUCACCCACCAUAGUUACUCCUUUUCAUUUUUGCACUGAAUUCACUUUCCUACUCUUCGAUUUAGAGCUUUCAAUCAAAAUUGAUCUAAGCAUAAAUACCCAUCUCCGAAUAGAUCUGCUUGUUUAUCGCCUCUUGCUUUCGUCUCUUGUCACCAGAAAAAACUAUUCCUCAUAGUCCAAAGCUUAACAACGGAGGUUUCUUGAGGUUUGAGUUCUUUUAAAAGCUAUAUUUAAAACCAUUUUUUUAGUUUUAUGUUGAUUCUUCUUAAAGAUCCCAAUUUAUUUUUUCAAGCAUUUGAUUUUUUUUAGUAUUCAUGAUAGAUUCCUUUUUUUAAUCUUUAGCAGUCGAAAAAGGGGUGACGGUGUAUAUGAGGCUCAAAGGAAGUAAACAAGUCAUCCCAUUUGAAGCUAAGCACUUUUCAUCUUUUGUAGGAAAAUCCCCUUCUCUAGUCUUGGGAAAUUGAGCGACCCAUCCACAUAAGCACAAGAAUUUUUCCCGCGCAAAUCAUUCUUCAUCGCAUAAGCCCAUGACAAGUCAUUUCCAGAUGCUUCUUUCGGAAGAGCACGGGAAAGCCUCAAUUUGGUGGGAUCAAGUCCAAGCAAGGCGUGAGCGGAAAGGCAAAGGGAAAUACAUGGGACAAGAUGCGAUCGAGGUUGCAGGAUUAAUUUCUACCCGAACAUUAGACCCAAAGCUUGUUCCAAAGGUUUCACUUCGCUUUAAAGGAUAGGAGGGAGAGAAGCGUACAAGAAAGCCCCUACUCCUUAAAAAAAAGUAGCAGAGUUCUACCAAUUGUUUAUUUGCAAUGGCUUGAACGAAUCCGACGCAGAAUCCCUUGCUUGCUUGAUAGGGCUUGAGGUUAUAAAUCCAAGAUGAAAUCUCGAUGCAUCAGAUGUGGAAAGUGGCCUAUCAACUAGCUCUAAAGGCCGAGGAAAAGCUAAAGAGAAGGACCACAAGGGGCCCGGGGCUGGCUUUUUGGGAAGCCCGUUCCCACCGCGCUCACGGCCCGGCUGGCCUGCCAGCGGUAGUGGGAAUUCCCCCGUUCCCUGGUCAAAGACUUGGUCGGAUGCGGGAUCUACUCCACGAGGAGUGGUACGGACGUAGAUGAUAUCAUCACGACCUCUCUUUUCGUACCGCUAGGGAUGCUUAACACCACUUCGCCAAUUGGCAUUACCUGCGCUUUCGUGUCUCUCAGUGUGGUCAGCACUGGGUGUUUCCGAGCAGCGAGGCUUACACCCAUCCGCAUUAGUUCAUCCAAAGUUCCUUACCCUUAUGCACGAAUUAUUGAAUAAGCCAUCUUCCUAUCAAGGUUAAGGAGUCAACUGAGCAUCUCAGCGGCGGGAUUCAAUACCCGAAUCGAAUCAGAGUUCACGUCGCCCGCCCUGAACAAAUAGGAGGCGUGGGCCACAGGUCGCACAUAAGCCGCCGGGUCGCACGAUAGAAGAACACCCAACAUACAGAUGCACACUCCUCCAUGUGAAAUAUUCAUCUUCAUUGGAGCUUUUUGGUAGUAGUCGUGACCAACAGCCAUAGCCAUCAGCUGUCGGCUCGUUGGUAAGGCAAGAGCUUCAAGCCCAAUUUCUGGUGGCAUAUCCCCUACACAAGCACCACCCGACGAAGGGGGGACGGGGAAAGCUACAGGCCCAAAACCUUCGACCCUUCUUUCUAAAUGGGGGUGCCAGGAGCACCUCAUCUUGUCAUUUCGUCGUUGCUCAUUCCCGUUAGGCCGAAGUGUUUGGCGUUUCCUUCUCCGCGCCCGUUCAUGCUUCGCUGACCUAUCGCGUGGUAAAAAGAAGAAAGUACGAAAGAAUUGUAAAUGGAGCACACCGCAGAAAGAUUCUAAAUAUGAGAAGUCCCCCUUGGAUUCGAGAAGAAGAAAAUGAAGAACAGGAACGAAACGAAAUAAGGCGUUUCUAGCUCUAGUAUCGGAUGAGCUUCUCCCAAUUAUGUCUGGUAAUAGAAUAGGGCGGCUUGCUCUGACCAAGACUCCAGUUUUUGCUCUGUCCAUGGAGCGUAUGAAUUUCCUGGAAUGUAGAUAGACCAAAAGAGGGAAUGAAGAGAUAGGAAUAGGAAUUAUAGUACCAUUGGAAAAAGGGGCACCCGUGGAAACAUCUCUACUGACGAACCGUUUCAAUAGUAUGGGUGCUGCCGUGCCACGAGGCACGACCAUAAAAAUAAUAAAAAAGAAAAAGUUAUGUAGUUGGACCAUCAGCUCUAUCCGUUCGAGUUUCACUUCUCUAAAGAAGAUAAGACGCUAAAACUGAAAGUGUUCGCAAUGCAUACCGAAAGGAUACCAAUGAAGCCGACCAUUAAUGACUAGUUCGAACACCAGGAGCGGUCUGAUCCCUUAUUUGAUCAGAUAGACUGCUCUUAGAAACAUAAAACAAAAGUAAACUCUCAUAGUUCGAAGCCCAGCUUCAACUACUUCUUCUUAAGUGAGGUUUCUUAUAGUUGAAAAUUCCUUCUCGGGGUCUUCCUUUGUACUCCUAAUGGUAGUGCGCAUCUCAAACUAUGAGGGGCCUUUGAAGCCCGCACCACAAACUGCUACAGCAUAAACAUAGGCUGGUAGUAUGAAUUGUCCCAAACUGCAUAAAAGCUUAUGUCUUCAUAUAGGAAGAACCUCCCAAUAGCUCUCCUAGCCGCUGCAUGCAACCUCUGUGAAAAUACUGAUUUCAUCGAGGGUUGUACUACUGUUUUCUUCAAAAGAAGGAAAAAAGAGACUCAACUUCUUUUUCUCGUAGCGCCUGAUGCAGAGAGACCGCUCCGCAAAGAUUCCCCAAUACCACUAUCAUCAAAAUCCUCCGUACGACAGCCCUGCCCUCUCUAGGCUAGGCUCCUCUGUUACAUCAACUAGAUCCACUCCCACCGAAAAGAAAUUCCUUUUUUUGGCCAAUCCUAAUUUCAAAUAAAGCACUCUUCCUCAUUUGUUUCUCUUUUAUUGCCUUCUUUAUUAGUGAAGGGGAUCCUCGAGAAAGCUCUUUGGCCAAUUCUGUAGAAUUUUGGCAUAUGGCGAUGUUAUUUCCAGCCAAACAUGCCAAGUGGAAUUUCAAUCUUAUUUUCCAUUUUUCUCGCCUGAGUACUUGUUGCCGCAGAGCUUGCAUUGGACAUUUGAUCUAUCAAAUUUGGUGGCAAACUGCCAACAAAGGUCUGUUGGGUUUCUACUCAGUUGAUUUGGCUGUCUUAUUAGUUGCUGUCUUGAAUUGGUUGGGAGACACAAAGGGGCUGCUCCAAAAGAGAUGUUACAAACAUGGUAUCAGAGCCUUGAUUCUGCCAGCCGUGGGUGUGGGAAGAGGUGUCCUUUAGAUACAUGCCAACUGUUUGACAAAAGGCGCUUUCAAUAUCAGUGAAUUGGUGCUUCAAUAUGGAAUUUGGUCAAACCAGCGGUUAAACGGUUUUUGAAAAAGUGUCAUAGAGUUUCAGCUAGAUUGAGACUAAAAGAGCUGUUAGCUAAGCCUUCGAUCUUCUUUGCUUCUCCUUCUCUGUAUAGGAUCGAUAAGUCAUAUCAGUUUUCCUAUUUAAUCUUUUCGGCUGGUUUUCUAAACACAUUUCCAAGGGUCCUUAGCAUUCGUAAUUCUUAUCUAAGAAACUAGAAAGAGAGAGGUUAGUUAAAUAAGCAUAAAAAUAAGAGUAAGGGGGCCCCGGGGGAGCAUGGUUUGGCCAUAGACGCGGGAUUAGGAUACCACUAUUUGACGAAUCCUGUUUCCCAGCUCUCAGUCCUGUUCCCUUUCACGGAACACUUUAUAGAUAGGCUUUUUUCUCCGAUUGCAGCUUACUAUUAUAAUGAGUAAUUCAAAAUUCUCUCGACAGGUUUGAGAGCGCAGGGGGAGACCAGAGGUUUGGAACCCUGAGCCUAAGGCCUUCAAUGGUGCUCAGAGUUCCAAGGAAGGCCUUAGGCCAACGUGUUCGAUGUCUAACAGUUUUUUAGAGUGGCUCAUAUACCGGAAGCAGAUAAAGUUAGCAUUACUUCCAUGUAUCUUGUGGGUGAUGAAAAAACUAUGGUGGAAACCCAGAGUUGAGGAUUCUUCACGCCAACCUAUCACCGAUUGGCCAGAGAUGAAACAAGAGCUGAGAAAGAUGUUUUUGCCGUGUAAUGUCCAAUGGCUAGCAAGAGACUGAUUAAGGCGUUUGAGGCAAACAAACGGGUUCAGUUAGAGAGUAAGUAUAUGAAGAGCUUCCAAUCUCUGAUGCUCGAAGUGGGUAGUAUAAGUGAGGAAGAAAAGCUUUACAACUUUAUGCUGGAUUUCAGUUGUAGGUUCAGAACGCACUGAGGAGGGAGAAAGUGAAUAACCUCGCUUCAGCUAUCACGGUAGCAGAGAGUUUAAUGGACUUCAAAGAAAGUUCAGAUGGGGCAGACAAGAACAAAAACUCUAAAGGCAAGAAGAAGUUCAGUGGGAAGAACGAUCAUGAAGCAUCAACAUCCAAAACAAAUGUUGACAACAAGGGCAAAGGCAAAGCGCUGGAUCCCGAUCUUGAUUUCCCGAGCUCUUGGUCCUCGGUCCUACUUCUUCGGUUAGGCAAGCUUGACUCUUAAGAGACUGACUUGGGCAUAGAAUCUCAUUCCCACUAGAUCCACUGAAGCUAUAUUGGCAUAUCUCUUCGAAUUUUAACCUUCCCUACCGGUGAAAGCCCGCAAGCCUUUUUUAGUUAAUGGACGGCUUCGAAAAGAGAAUUGUUUGAUCCCGCCCAGGGGCUAAAGCUCAUCGGCCCAUUUCCACUAAUAGACAAGCCACAAUUAGAAAGUUUUUAAUUCUCUUAUACCAGAGAAACUAAUCAAAAAUAGGCUUUUUCAAAGCUCGUCCUAACCUAAAAACACGGGGUUGAGUCAAAUGUAUUAUUUAUUUUUUCUAAAGUCUUCCCUUCCAUAAAUAAGGUUUAUGCCCUAAAACAGGCUAUUUCAUCGUAACUCUAUUAAGGGCUCCUACCCACUGAUCCAUUCCCAUCCCAGUCUACUUGAUUUGAGAAAGAAUUAGAGCCGAAAGGACCAGAUCUCUCAUACAUGGGUUACCCGCGUAUCCUCGUAGAUUCUCCUCGUUCAUAGAUAGGUGAGAACAAAGAUUGGUCUCAGUUAGGAAAAGUUCUUCAAUAAUCUAUUCGCGAAAGACUUGAGUCACUGGUACCCAAACCCGUACCCAACGGCAUCAGGUAAUUAGAUCCUCAGAACCGAAAGUCAAAGACUCACUCCUACAUCUCAAACUCUCAAAGGACGUUAUUCUGAUUGGCCCAUUUCGCCCCAAAGAGACCUUCCCAACCAGCCAUCCCCUAGCUUGAAGGAGGAUUGAUGAACCACCUGGGGGAACCAUUCCUCAAGAAAAACCAUCAAUGAUGACGACUCCCGUCCGAGGCAAGAAAAGAAUUGGGCGGAAGGUCCCAUCCCUGGAUACCAGGUACAUGGCAACAAGGAAAGCGGCUAAUUGGCUCCACCUCUGAAGGCGCACCAUCUUUGGUACCAUGAUUUUCGUUGUUGAAAUACCGCUUAAAGCAUUCUAGAUGCAAAAAAAAAGAAGAGAAAAUGGUUUGGCUUACCACAUGCGAAUUGAAUAAGCUUAUUUCAUUCAUUUCCCUUACCAGCUUUAGUAGCAUAGAUAGGGCCUUCUAGGCAUGAAAUAGGGGAACUCCACUUCUAAGGUAUCAGCCUCAGAUUUUGUUAGUGAGAUAAAGAUCCUGUUGUGGAAAUUCCCAACUGGAUUAAUCUUUUGAUUCGAUGUAGCACAGGAUGGAGUGGGGAAUUCAGUUGACAAGGCCGCCGACCGGCAACUACCUGGGAAAGAAGCUUAGCAAGGAUCUAUUUUAGCAUUUCGGAUCGGACCAUCUGCUUAGUAGUCUUGAACCCCUUUCUAUGAAAGAAGGGACAACGGGGUAGAAGGUAGUGGGCAUGUUCACUCGGUCGAUAGAGACCAGAGGAGCCUAGAGAAUCCGAGGCCUCGGUCUUAUCCCUCUUUCUUACAUUCUUCUUUUGAACCUCCAAUCCAAUCAAUCAACUUGUCUACUUGCUUAUCGGCAUUCGUUGCCACUUGGGCAGAGCUGUUUACCUCUUCUUCGACUCGAAAUGAGAUCCCAUUUACUGGUUCAAGAAAAACUCGAAAGGAAUCCACUCUCACCUCUAACUCUGGGUCUCCCCCGAUUAAGGAGAGACUCCAACUCCUAUUCUGCUCCUUCCUGAGCCCACAUCUCCAUGUCCUAUCGAUGCUGAUCUCUCCCCUAGCGAGGAACCGGAACCAACUAAUGGAUCCAUGGAACCUCUUAGCUCGGAACCCCAUAUAUUGCAUCUCCAACUACAGGUAAGAAGCUCCAUCCGAGGGAAGAUAAGCCAUCUCCGAGACCAUUCCUGCGAAUAAACUAAUCCCUUUCAAAACCUCUUAUCGAGACCCCAUCUCCUGCUAAUUAUUCAUCUGGUGGCGAAGGGCGACUCCACCUGCUAAGCAGGAACUACCAAGCUUUCUAUUCCCUUACAGCAAGCAAGCAUUCCAUCUUACAGUAAUCCCGUCCUUCUUCUACUUGAAAAAUUCCUCCCGAAGACCCUAUUGGUUUGUAAUCGAUUCUUUAUCAAUGGGCCACCCUUUCUUUGAACCUUGUCAAUGAUCGAACUUAAAGAUAUGAACUGAGUGCCAUUUGAUGAGUAACUGAGAACAAAGGAGAGGGAUAUAGAAAGGAUGAAGUAAUGAAAGAGGAAGUCAUUGCUAGUAGUAACGACUUGUUACGAUCCAUUGGUUCAUAUAGAAUCCAUGUCCUAGGUGUAUCAAAAAACAUUCUUUUCGCUAAGCGUAUAUAAUAAAAUAGAGUGAAAGGGUCCACCCCGAAACCAAUGGGGUACUAACUAACAGCUGAGUCCUCUCCGAACCGCAGGAGAUAGUUGCCCAUCAUACAGCUCACCAACUUCACUUGCCUCUAUGGGAGGCUCGCUCCGGGCAGGUUCGGAUCACUUACAAUACACAGCUCUACGAAGGAAGGGGUUGGGUUAGGAACGUUUUCAAUAUGAUUCUUUUUCCAUAUUUGUUCGAUCUCUUCCAUCUCUGCCCCGCGUUGUCACCUAUGUUGAAGAAAGGUUUGGAACCCUGUAGAGAAUGAAGAGGAGCCAAGGAUCUUCCUCUCAACAGUGCUUCUCGAGGCUCCACUCUCCCCCUGAAUAAGUAAGGCCCCGUUAGCCUGGGCGAAGAUGGGGAUAAGGAAUAAGGAUUGAAGCCCCCUUAGCUCUGCCAGGCACUGGACAGGGGUUAGCUCGGUAAAUGUGUAGAGCCAAGUGUAGUGUGGUGUAGUAGUAGGCACUUCUAGGCCCCUUCCCGACUACUGGAUCACUCCAGCGCUUUGGGUACUACGGACCCUCUGCCAUCCAUUGCAUUGCAGCAGAGUCGUUUCAUGAGCGGGGGGGCUAAGCGCAGUUCUUUGAAUCAAACAUUGAAUGAAAUCGAUUCUUUUUUAGAUAUCAAAAUCGAAAUCGGAUAGGAUAGAUGGAUGGAUCUAUCUUUCUAUUUAUAUAGUUAAGUAGCGUAGCAAAAAGCCCCAAAUCCUUGAUUUGGCCAGGAAAGACUGCACUGUUUUGGGCCCAGGAAGCAAAGGGAAUGAGCUCGGCUGCUUCUCCUCCACACUUAUUUUUUUCCGUGCCCGCUCCGCAUGCGCUUCGCGCGCCAUUGGCGCUUUGCUCUCCUCUUAUUCUUCAUUUGACGAUUCGGAUGGACUUCGCCGUUCUUUCCCAACUAAAAUAGAAAAGGCUGUAUCACAUCGAGAUGUCGAUUCGUUUUUCGCCCCCAAUAAGAUGGGGAAUUUUGAACCCCCUAUUUAUACUUUUAGGCCAUUCAUCUUUCUGAAUCGAGGCCCGGCCCGGCUCGCGUCGUUCCAACAACCGGCGGGGAGCACCUCAGUAUACGAUCGCGCGCAGUAACUGGGAGUCCUAUUACACCUAAGGCCAACUUCAAUUCACCAAACCAAGGUUCAUCUCGUGUAGUGAUUGUGGACUCAAACAAGGAUAUUAAGUAGACCGUUGAUGUAUCAGACUCGACCCUAUCUUUCAUAGCAUGCAUUCCCAUCUGUGUCGCAACUGAUUCGGUAAGCUACGUGUCCGGUGCACGGAGAACGCCCUUCGGCCCCCCAAACUGACUUACUCGUGGCAACCUUCCGGCCGCCCAACAACCUAUAACGCUAGUCACUACUCCCACUGGGGCUAGGAAGUAAGCCCCACAACCCAAAGCAGCGAAGAAUAAAUAGAAUUUGCUUCAAAAGCCGGCUAACGGAGGUAUUCCUGCGUAUGAGAACAUAGUAAUGGAGAAGGUAAUAGCUGAAAUAGGAUUCGUUUUGGCUAGAGCGCCCAAAUCCACUAUAUAUUUGACACGGGUUUGCCGUAAUGCUGAAACUAUGGCGAAUGCAUCUAUCAUCAUUAAUGCAUAAAUAAAGAUACCAAUUAGUAGUGAUUGAAUUCCUUCUAUGGUUCCACAUGAGAAACCAGUACGAAUAUAACCUACAUGUCCAAUUGAACUAUGAGCUAGAGGUCUUUUUACUUUCGUUUGGGCCAUGGCGGCCAAUGCUCCUAAGAUCAUAGAAGCAAUGCUGCAAAAAAAGAAGAUUUGUUGCAAUGUAGCUCCAUAUGAACCAUAAAUAGAAACACGUGAAAUAUUAGCAGAAAUAGAAAUUUUAGGCGCAAUAGAAAGGAAUGCUGUAACCGGGGUGGGUGAACCCUCAUAGAUAUCAGGUGCCCACAUAUAUAGAGUCAAAAGAGAUAUGGAGUCCGAAGGGGAGGGGGUUUUUCUUCGGGGCUCGAGAGAUGGAAUAGAUAGGGCCCCACAAGUUUUUAAUUCACCGUUGGGGAAUUCACACGAAAGGGAACGAGGAAUUCUCAACGAAAAAAGUGCUCUCUGAACCGAACGUGAAAGUUGUUUUCCAUCAGACGGCUGUUCCCGUAACUCCACUCUCGACUUGGAUUAUAUAUCCAAAAAGGUCCGUUCUUGGCCAUUCCACACGCUGCCUAGCAGAGGCAUGGUUAUCUGAAGUGGAUUCUCUCUUUUCUAGUAGAUGCCGAACCUGCUGCCCCAUUGAUUAUGAAGAAGGGCGGGCGCAGCAGUUACAUGGACCCCUUCCUUUCCGUUAUUGCUAGCGCUUUCCCGGGCCGAGCCGGAAUUUUUUAUUAUAAAGGGCAGGCAAAGCCCGAAGGCUGCUAUCCCAAUAGGCCAGCGGGCGGAACGAGGAGAGGCCCCGGUAAUCAUACCACCGUGGUCGAAAAAGUAUGUUCCCUUCAGAUAACACGCACCGUAGGCCAUCCUCGGCCUUCUUCGUUUUUGAUGAAAAACAAAUAAAAUCUCUCGAUCUCUGAAAGCGUUUUCCUCCCCCCGCCGCAUCCCCCUCUCUUCGUCGAGCCUUUCCUUUAAUGGUUGGGGGAAGCAUUCCCUUAUCUGAACUUGGCGGGCAUUCUUUCCAGCCUUAUUCAAAUAGGGGGAUGGGUUUGGUUUGAACUUUGAACAUAGGCUCAAACAUGAUUUGAAGGUCCUAGCUACGCCAUGCGUUCAAUAUAAAGGAAAGCUGCAGAGAUGACAAAAAGAGGGCGCUUUCCUAUGUUGCACUGAAAAAAUGAAAUAAGGACAACGGAUAAGAACGUCUUCUCUUAGGUUUCUUCCUCCCACACCCGCCGCCGCCCGGCCCGCGUUAGAGGGGAAGAUUAGCAAAGCGAGAAAAGACAGAGGGAAGGAGAGCAGCAUUUUAUUCUCUUUGCGAGAACUUCCGGAUCGGAGAAGCAUUCGGAACGGGCUCCGCGUUCAUUUCGUUGGCGGAAAUGAUCCAAUCCAUUCGGGGCUUCGGGGAACCCAAAAACGAAGUCUUUCGACUUGAUUCAUAGAUAGAAUCAAUGAUAAAUAGACAAAAGAUAGAUGAACGAGANNNNNNNNNNNNNNNNNNNNNNNNNNNNNNNNNNNNNNNNNNNNNNNNNNNNNNNNNNNNNNNNNNNNNNNNNNNNNNNNNNNNNNNNNNNNNNNNNNNNNNNNNNNNNNNNNNNNNNNNNNNNNNNNNNNNNNNNNNNNNNNNNNNNNNNNNNNNNNNNNNNNNNNNNNNNNNNNNNNNNNNNNNNNNNNNNNNNNNNNNNNNNNNNNNNNNNNNNNNNNNNNNNNNNNNNNNNNNNNNNNNNNNNNNNNNNNNNNNNNNNNNNNNNNNNNNNNNNNNNNNNNNNNNNNNNNNNNNNNNNNNNNNNNNNNNNNNNNNNNNNNNNNNNNNNNNNNNNNNNNNNNNNNNNNNNNNNNNNNNNNNNNNNNNNNNNNNNNNNNNNNNNNNNNNNNNNNNNNNNNNNNNNNNNNNNNNNNNNNNNNNNNNNNNNNNNNNNNNNNNNNNNNNNNNNNNNNNNNNNNNNNNNNNNNNNNNNNNNNNNNNNNNNNNNNNNNNNNNNNCCAGAGAGAGAAGGUUUCCUUUUGGAGCCUCCAUGGAUACGAAGUCUAACGCACUCAAGAGAAGUUCCCGAUAAGGUAAGUCAGUCAAAGGCCUUUCGAGUUGUUGUAGCAAUUGAACUCUUCAAGCAAUGAUCUUAUUUAUUCAACCGCUUGCUGAGCUGCUUGUUUAGUUGCUAUAGCCGAAUGACCUUCCAUCACAUCAACUAUAAGAAGAAGAGUUUCGGAAGAAUACGCUUCAGGGACAAAUUUAUCUUCUAUCCCUUCCUGACUCUGCUGACAUCCCGCCUUAAUCUUUCUUAGGGUUGAAAGAAUCAAUGAGAUGCCCUUGUUCUCUCCUAUCCUUUUUCUAUACAUAUAGUAGCGCCUGCUGGCCAGUCAUAGAUAGUAGUAACUUAUUGAAUUCUGGCUUCCUCUCUUUUUGAGAGAUCAGGUUCAAACUACUAAAGCUCGUAGGAAGAGUCAAAGUUCGUAAAAAAUGUUAGAAUAGCGCCUUCCUGAGAGGCUUGACAGAGAAUCUUUCUUCUUGAAAGAUAUCUUCAUUCUAUGCUUUCUUCGUUCCUAGCCAUUCUUCUAUUCUAUACCAAAGGGAAUCAGAAUAGCUAUUAUCCCUGAUUCAUCUAAAGGCUCAGCGGAUCCGAAUCACUUGGAAUUUGCACUGAAACAGAUCUCUCCUAAUUGGCCCUCCAACCCUUAGGAGGCUGGGCCUGCAAUUAGAUAGGCUGCUCACUUUAAGACUGAAGACUGAAUGGAAAGGCUAGACAUAAAAAGAGGGCACUCCCACUGGGGUAGCUUGUAUGGCCCGACCGCAAAUAUUGAUACAACUCCAUCGAAAUGAAACUGAAACUUUUUCGCUAUCGAAAGAGAGUCCAACCCAACUGCUGGAACUCCAGCUCCCCGAGCCCCAGGACUGCUAUGGACUUCAUAAAUUAAUGGGUUAUUAAGGAAGACACCACAUGCCCCAACCACCCGAUUCAGAAAAAAUGGACAUUUCUCGAGCUUUGCGUACAACUUUUCCCUCCUCCUUAUUUCGAGAAUAGACGAGGAUGUAAUCAAUGAAUACGACCAAGAACUUAUCCAGUAAGGGUGAUCAAGGUAGGAUUAGCAACCUUCCUUAGGGCAUUCAAGUUCGACAUGCUACCUUCUCUAUGUAUCGAUUCUUGGUAGACAAAGGUGGUUUAGAUCGAGACGCACCCUUUCCCUUUCUCCUUCCGAAUGCGGCCUCAGGCCUAAAGCUUUCUCAAUCUCAGCAGUGGGCAUCCACCUUUUGGCUUAGCUUAGUCAGUUCCCUUCCCUAUGGUUGUUGAAUAAGAAGAGCUUAUAAAAGGAGUUGGUCAACAAGACCGAGGAAUUAGAACUAGUAUCCACUCAUUACACAGAAGAAAGAGUAACGCUUGAAGUUCAAUCUCCCCACAUUCUAUCUCCAUCUGGGCUAUUGACGGCUACCAACCCCCGCUCUAUCUCUUCUGAGUCAUCAGGAGUGACCUGAACUUCGGUGUCCAGAGGAUCCAUCUCUUCGACGGGUAUAAAGGCUGGUUGCAGUGCUCCAAACCUUAUCCAUGUUGGUAGUCGCUUGUCUUAUGAGUGAAUCUCGAUCUAUAUCUAUGGCCUAUUUGAUUGAAGCUGAAGGCCUGUUCAAAAGAUCAGAUAGGCGGAUGGAAGCAAGAAAACGGCUGGAUUGGCUGGCUAGCUCGUGCAAUAAAAGUCCUUCGCCUUAGAAAGCUAGCUUUCUAAGCCCGGGUAGGACGUGGAUCGAUCAUCACGAAAAUGGACUUCUCCGUAAUGUAAUAGAAUAGUCACAGUCCCUUCUCGACCAGACGAAGGAGAUAUGAAUUCCAUUCUGGCUUGGCCCUCCUGUAGGCGCAAAGUUCAUCAUUCAGUGUGGUGGGGGGCCUCGCCUGGCAGAUUUGGAUGACUUGGAUGCUGGGGAGAUCUGGAUAGAGUCUUGCUCAUAGAUAGAAGAAGAGUACAGCUUAGACAGUUGAUCGGAUCAAAUAGCCCUUCGGGCAACCAACCGCACAAACAAUUCCGAUCAAGAACUUGGAGGGAUGGCUGAGUGGCUUAAGGCAUUGGUUUGCUAAAUCGACAUACAAUAAAAUUGUAUCAUGGGUUCGAAUCCCAUUUCCUCCAGCAGAACGGGCGGGCGUGAGAGAAAGUUGAAGGAAAAUUAUGGGAUCUCAUGUUCUUUUGGGUAACUCUUGGUUUUAGUGAUAUGGUGAGUUUAGUGUAUUUUUUUCAAAAUCUCAGUUUUAAGUUUCUGAAUCGUGAGAUUUUAAGCAGGUGCUUGGUAAACAAACAUAGAAUUAGGGUUUUGAAGUGUUUAUUUGGGAACUUAAGGGAUCUUUGUGCUUAGAAAACAAACUAGAUUUUAUCCAAGAACCGUUAGUUCUGUUUCAACUAUUAUCUGAAUUUUUAUUUUUUGCAUUAUUUUACUCAUGGGCUUUGUCAUUCCCUAUCUUGUUCAUUCAGUUUGUUUUUCUUUACUUGUAUAUGUUUAAAAAAACACUAUUGGCUGAAUGGCGGAGAGUGCCGUAAUUUAAACUAAAGUCAUUUCGUUUGGAUUUGUUGUUUUACAAGUCCAAAAAGCUAGAUUUCUGCAGGGAAACUAUUUCAUAUAAAAUUAACCCAACUUGUUGUGGGAAUUGCAAAUACUGAUUUCCAUGUUGGUUUGGUGUAGGCAAUUGUUGUCAGAUAUUCUUUGUGGUUAUAAUACUUGAGGCCAUGCCUGCUACAAAGUAGGUUGCUUUACAUUUUUCUGCCUGCUAUAGGUUUCUUUAAUUCUAGUAGUUCAGGGUUUUCUUUUUCCUUUUUUUUUAAUUGUUUUUCUUUUUGUUUGUUAAAAUUUUUGAGGUGCGUGCUAUGAAAUUUUGUCUACAUUGAAUAAUUUUGUUUCUUUAGAAGAAUAUUUCUCUUGUUGAAUAUAUACUAGUCAGUGUUUUUAUAAUGCAAUAGAAUAGUUUGAAUGUGAUCCUAUGGUGUCUGAGAUGUAUUGUAUUAAAAAAUCUCUCUUCUUUUUCCUGCUCUAAUGGUUCUGAAUUUUUGUUUUAAACUUUAGUGGAUUUACUUUUUACAGUUUUUCUUGGGAUUUGCAAUAUUGAAAGUGCUUCGAUUAGAUACUUAUUUUUGUUUUUCCUUGUCAUUGUUAAGAAGAACUUAUCUGGCUGUGUAAGAGUUACAACGUUUACUUGUAUUAAUCUUAGUCAGUACAUUGUGGUUCUGUACAUUUUCUACUGUGAUAUCUAAUUUUCUAUUGGAUUUUUAUGCUAUUAAAUUGAUUGUUUAUUAAAACCUUUUGUUGUACUAACUUGUAUUAAGGUUUUUAAUCUUUUAUAUAAGUAUGGAUAUGUUUAUUAACCUUUAGACUUUCUCGUUGACCUUCCUGUUUCUUAUAUAGUUUUUUGAUCAAAUGUCAAGAAAGCUUGUGAUCUGGUUUUCGGUUAUUCUAUUCUGUAGAAUUUUUUCAAGAUAUGUUGAAUUUUCUUAUUGGAUUUUCCCCUUUACCAGAGUUCUGAUUGCAGUCACAUUGGCUAUGCAUUAAACAAGUUGAUGAAGCAAAUUGGACAUCCGGAUGAGUUUGAACUGCCAGAUUGCUUUAAUAAUUGACUUUCUGUUCCUUGUGUAGAGAUGGAUGAAUUUGCUUUAGGAUCUUAUUGGUCAUAGUCAUGGAGAAGCUGAAACUUUCGUAGCAAUUUCAGAAGAG